rnacentral:misc_RNA from 1 species
AAAUAUACUCCCUAGCUUGUAUAGAGCAUUAAACACAACAAAUAACAAUACACGAGUGAGGCGUUUUUGCUUACAACGAUUCAAAUUGUAUCUAACCAUGAAUCAAAAUCAUCCAAAACUUUAGAGUUGAUGACAGUCUGAGAGGAAGAAGAUAGAGUUUCAUUGUGGGCAGCAGUCACUUUCGUCAGCUGAUAUGAACCCUUUUUGUUCGACAACAUGGAUGUUUCCUCAAGUAAAUCAUCGAGCACAUCAUCUAGCUUGACAGCAAUGGGUGUUGUCUUUGAAGAACUUGGGUUGUUUCUUGUAAGUUGUGGCAGAGAUAUAGGAGCCUCUUUUUGGUACACAGGAAUAGUUGCCGAUGAGAAUCCAGAAGAAUCAAGUAACUUGGUCUCGCUAAAUGAGUCAAGAAGCAUAUCCAGCUCUGCCUCAGCAGCUGAUGCCUCAAAUGAGGAUAGUUUCUUGGGUUCUGAAACAGAACUCACGUUGAAUUCUGUGGGACACUCCAAAGCAUUGCUUUGACUGUAAGUGCUGUCUUGACUUGAAUUCUUAGUUUGACUUAAUAAAUCCAAUCCCUGGUUAGGUGAUUUGACAUCCAAAAAAGAUCCUGAUGACAUAACCUCAAUAUUCUGGUUUGCAACCUUUUUCUCCUCCGAAAAAUCUUUGAAUAUCGAUUCUUUGGAUAUUGUUGACGUUGCUUCAGUUUCACUUUUUUGCAUUUGAUCUGAUUCCAGGCUGCUUGUCUUUGAUCCAUUGCCAGUCAGCUCCAUUGGUAAUAGGUCUGCUUCAAUGAAGAGCCUUGCUGAAAUGUCUACUUUUGCUAAUUGUUCCGCAAGAGCAUUCAAAUUCAGGGAGAGAAAUGGUACCUCAGGGCUUGCAGCUGUUUCAUCCUCUACCAAAAAAUUAUCAUCCCCAAUCCACAAUAGAAUGCUCUUUCCCCUGACUGAAAGCAUUGACUCUACUCCAAGAUUAAAUUCUCCAGGCAAAAUGUCAUCCAUUGAAGGAAAGGUAUCCAAGAAGGAAUCUGACUGGCACUGAGACUGAGCUUCAGCAAGCAGGUAACCGUAGUCUGCACCUUUACUCUUGGGCAAAAUAACAUCAGAGGCUUUAUUUGUAGCAUCCCCAGAUGGGUCUUCAGUACCUGAAUUAAAUUCUUCCUCAUAACGAUCCCAAUUCGAAG